rnacentral:rRNA from 1 species
UACGUAGGGUGCAAGCGUUAAUCGGAAUUACUGGGCGUAAAGCGUGCGCAGGCGGUUGUGCAAGACAGAUGUGAAAUCCCCGGGCUCAACCCUGGGAAUUGCAUUUGUGACUGCACGGCUAGAGUGUGUCAGAGGGGGGUAGAAUUCCACGUGUGAGCAGUGAAAUGCGUAGAGAUGUGGAGGAAUACCGAUGGCGAAGGCAGCCCCCUGGGAUAACACUGACGCCUCAUGCACGAAGCGUGGGGAGCAAACAGGA